rnacentral:lncRNA from 1 species
UAAUUGCGGGGAGCCGCCAGCGGCAAGGCUCUGGGCGGCCGCAGUCUCAGUCUGAAGGCGGCCGCAGCGGCAGUCUCGAGUAAGAUGAGGCUUCUGCUGCUUCUCCUGGUGGCGGCGUCGGCGGUGGCCCGGAGCGAGGCCUCGGCCAACCUGGGCGGCGUGCCCAGCAAGAGGUUAAAGAUGCAGUACGCUACGGGGCCGCUGCUCAAGUUCCAGAUUUGUGUUUCCUGAGGUUACAGGCGGGUGUUUGAGGAGUACAUGCGGGUUAUUAGUCAGCGGUACCCAGACAUCCGAAUCGAAGGAGAGAAUUACCUCCCUCAACCAAUUUAUAGACACAUAGCCUCUUUCCUGUCAAUCUUCAAACUCGUAUUAAUAGGCUUGAUCAUUGUUGGCAAGGACCCUUUUGCUUUCUUUGGCAUGCAAGCUCCUAGCAUAUGGCAGUGGGGCCAGGAGAAUAAGGUCUAUGCAUGUAUGAUGGUUUUCUUCUUAAGCAACAUGAUUGAGAACCAGUGUAUGUCAACAGGUGCAUUUGAGAUAACUUUAAAUGACGUGCCUGUAUGGUCUAAGCUGGAAUCUGGUCAUCUUCCAUCCAUGCAACAACUUGUUCAAAUUCUUGACAAUGAAAUGAAACUCAAUGUGCACAUGGAUUCAAUUCCGCAUCAUCGAUCAUAGCCCCACCUAUCAGCACUGAAAACUCUUUUACAUUAAGGGAUCUUUGCAAGAGCAGCGUGACUGACACUAUGAAGGCCUGUACUGAAGACAGCCAGCUGUUAGUACAGACCAGAUGCUUUUUUGGCAGGCUCGUUGUACCUCUUGGAAAACCUCAAUGCAAAAUAGUUUUUCUGUGCUGGCACGUUCUGGAAUUCUGCACAUUCGUGGAGUGCAAUAAUACUGUAUAGCUUUCCCCCAACCCAGAUUCACCCAGUUAAUAGUUUGUCAUUUUUUUAAAUGUAGACAUUACUACUUAAAACUUUUUUCUUAGUCAUAUUUAAAAAGUAGACAGUUGAGUUAUAAUUUGAUUCUUUUCAAAGUGUCUGUUAAAUCUUGUGUUUUUAUAUGAUUUUUUUUUUUUUUAGUUUAAAGUCAAUCUUUGGGGGAAUACAGCUAAAAGUUCCCAAAAGAGUUUAUCAGUCAUCUCUAAUUUGGUCAUGUCCAAUUUAUAUCGUUAUCAAAAAACUGCAGAUUGUGAACAGUGCAUUAUACAAGAUUAUGGGGGAAUCUAAUAUCCAGAGUACUCUACCAAUUUGUUUGUAUGUGUGUGUGUGUGUGUGAUUACCAGAGAACUACUACAAAACCAACUGCUUUUUAAAUUCUGUUGUGUAGUUCAGGUGUCUUGCCUUGACCAAUCUAAUGAAUUGAUUAACUGGCCUUUAUACUUAAUAAAAAACUAGCAGAUGUCAGUUAAAUGAAAAAGUUUCAGUUUAUUGCUCAAUGUACUUGUUAACAUUGUAUUUAAUCAUCAUCGGCCUAAUUUUGUGUUUUUAACUUAAAGAUAAUCUCCUAAGGGUUACACUUUAGAUUCCCACAAAAAAAAAAAAAGGUUAAUUUACCAUUUUUAGAGUUGAAACUCACCUCAUUAAAUAAAAGUUCAGUUGAACCUCUUUACAACAUUGAUACUAAGUGAACAGAAAUCACCCAGCAUCAGAUAUCAGAAUUCUGUUGUAUUUGAAAAAUAAGAUUGAAAAAUUUUUUAAUUUAAAUUUACUGAUAGUCUCAGUAUUCUAAAAAUAAGAGUUUUUAGAAAACUAAAAUUGACUAAGACUUGAAGGACAAUUUAGCAGAAAUAGGACCAUAAUGUAGAAAAAGAGCCAUGGAGCAGCAGCCGCAGCUUCAGCUUCCACAGGCUUAACAUGGAGAGCCCAAAGUAGGCCUGGAUUUACUCAUGAAAAUAAAAGGAUUUAAGGAAAAGUUAUGAGGAAAACCCAACAUUGGUUUUACCUAACACUUCAGAGUUACAAGACCUAACCCUGUGUGUCAUAGGACUGACCUGUUUUUCUAUCACUGGGUGUCCUGAAGCACAUGUCAGGUAAUGGCCUAACUGUUACAGCCUCAGGGAGGAGCACUGCAGUCUCUGAACUGACUGCAUGAUGUCAGUCUGUGAUUCACUGCAGAAAACUGGCCAAGUGGUUAUCAUUUCCAUUCCGAAUAGAACCUUUACGUUCUUCAGGGUUAGUUAGUUCAUGAUUUAAGUUUCAAGCUCCUUCGAGAUUGUUAUUUAGGUAUAAUAUUUAUGUUUGACUAAGGAUUAAAAACGUGUUAAUCUGAUUGCAUACCACUCCAAACUCCCCAUUUUCUGCAGGUUGAACACCCUGUCGAAUGUGUCUGGGGGUCUUUCUUUGGCUAAUGGACAUUCCACUAGUGACAGUUACCUUUAUGGCAUGAAGCUACUAAAAAACUGAAUCUUGAAAGUUCCCAUGGGUUUAACAGAUCAAACUAUGGGGAACCAAAGCUUCAGCUCCAACUUUCUCCAUGUUUGCCUUGGGUUGAAUAACUUAUUUUUUAGAGAAUAGCUUUAAGUGGCUUAGACACUGAUAAGAGCUAUUUUGUUUUAUGCUUAGUUCUAUUUAAAUCUAGAAUUUAAUGGAGUCUGAUUAAAAAAAAAAUGUGGGUCAUGUGAAUAUGAAAAAAUGUGAGGAAAAUAAACUAUUUGCAGUGUAACUUUAUUAUAUUCUAACAUUUCAAAAUUAUUGCUUAUAAAUUGGUAUGGUUGUGUAGUUUAUAACUGUCUAUGCACUAUAUUAAUUAAAAGACCAUAGGAUAUGUUGGCAGGUUG